GGACCUCUGGCGCAACGGUAGCGCGUUCGACUCCAGUCUCAGGGCUAUCGAAAGGUUAUCCGGUAUGUGGUAGAAUGCCCAAGUAUCCAGUUCUCAUAGCUAACGACAAUUAGUUCAAAUCGGGUGGGGUUCA